rnacentral:sRNA from 1 species
AUACAUUCCACCAAACCACACUACGCUGUUGAUGCGUGAUCGUCGCAGUGCAGAAACGUUACAUUAAACUAGCAUUUGUCGAAACAAUUCGCAUUCUAUCGAAUUGGAUGUUAUAAAAUAACUUUCUAUGUGUGUAAGUAUGGUGGAAAAUGUUGAAAUCGAGCGUCUGGUUUUAUGCAAACCAUGUAUAAAAAGCACUUGAAUCGUCUGCCUUUCUAGCGUACGCUAUAGAAAGGGGAAAAUCAGCCAAUGGCGCCCUCGUGUUCUUGAUAAAGAAAACAUUUGUAAUAAAGAUGUCAUUUAUCGCUUGACAUGGGGAGUUUUAAGAUCACACAUUAAACAUGAUUUUAAAUAAAAUU